UGGGGAAUAUUGCACAAUGGGGGAAACCCUGAUGCAGCGACGCCGCGUGAGCGAAGAAGGCUUUCGAGUCGUAAAGCUCUGUCCUAUGAGAAGAUAAUGACGGUAUCAUAGGAGGAAGCCCUGGCUAAAUACGUGCCAGCAGCCGCGGUAAUACGUAUGGGGCGAGCGUUGUCCGGAAUUAUUGGGCGUAAAGGGUACGUAGGCGGUUUUUUAAGUCAGGUGUCAAAGCGUGGAGCUUAACUCCAUUAAGCACUUGAAACUGAAAGACUUGAGUGAAGGAGAGGAAAGUGGAAUUCCUAGUGUAGCGGUGAAAUGCGUAGAUAUUCGGAGGAACACCAGUGGCGAAGGCGGCUCACUGGACCAUUACUGACGCUGAGGUGCGAAAGCGUGGGGAGCAAACAGG
rnacentral:rRNA from 1 species